rnacentral:sRNA from 1 species
UCGCGUCUCACCGAGCUACCUCCUCCCAAGCUCGAGACGUGCGACCCGGCGGAGCAUCCUCCUCCCAGUUCCGCCAAGUCAAAUGCGCCUGCCAGCACCUCCUCCCGCUGGCGGGCGUUUUG